AAAUUGAAGAGUUUGAUCAUGGCUCAGAUUGAACGCUGGCGGCAGGCCUAACACAUGCAAGUCGAACGGUAACAGGAAGCAGCUUGCUGUUUCGCUGACGAGUGGCGGACGGGUGAGUAAUGUCUGGGAAACUGCCUGAUGGAGGGGGAUAACUACUGGAAACGGUGGCUAAUACCGCAUAACGUCGCAAGACCAAAGAGGGGGACCUUCGGGCCUCUUGCCAUCAGAUGUGCCCAGAUGGGAUUAGCUAGUUGGUGAGGUAACGGCUCACCAAGGCGACGAUCCCUAGCUGGUCUGAGAGGAUGACCAGCCACACUGGAACUGAGACACGGUCCAGACUCCUACGGGAGGCAGCAGUGGGGAAUAUUGCACAAUGGGCGCAAGCCUGAUGCAGCCAUGCCGCGUGUAUGAAGAAGGCCUUCGGGU
rnacentral:rRNA from 1 species